GUAAAAACUGCCCCCAUUCACCCGAUGUGUGCCUCUUCCUUUUCAGUUACUUGUAAAUGUUUCAAAUGUGGUUCCUAAUCACACCACCUAGGCAGGGCUCUGUAUUUCAGACAAGGCUGCUCUGGGCCGGCACUGAGGUUAUCAUCUGGUCAUGGUGGAUGCUGACAUCUCUGUCUUGUUGAUACGCAGUAGGAAAAGAAAUGGAGUAAAGUCGACAGCCAUCCUAGGUUUAAAAUAUUAGAAAAACAUGGCCUUUUCAAGAAACCAGAAGAGUCUGAUUUAUAUUUGGAAGAAGACAAACAACAACCUGUGGUUAAUGAGAGAUUUGAAGAAAUAAAGAACUAUACAAAUAAAUGUGUAAUUACAA